UUUGGGAGGCCAAGGCAGGAGAAUUGCUUGAACCCAGGAGUUUGAGACCAAUCUGGGCAACAAAGUGAGACCCCUGUCUCUACAAA
rnacentral:miRNA from 1 species